GUUAUUAUUAUCAAUAUUAUUUGACGUAAGAUAAAAAUAAAAAUAAGCACUGCUUAAUUACAUUAACAUUUUAGUAAUAUUUGAUAAAUAAGUACCCUCUUUUAGCAAACAUGCUCUAUUAUUUAGAUUUUAGAUUUUUUUAAAAAAUAAAAACAGGAUCUGGUUAUGUUGCCCAGACUGACCUCGAACUCACUGGUUUAAGCAAUCCUCCCACCUUUCCCUCCCAAAAUGUUGGGAUUAUAGGUGUGAGCCACCACACCUACAAUUGCCUUGAUUUUUGAAUAGGGCAAAAUAAUUGUGAGGCUUAGGGAUUCAAGAAAUUUGGCAUACACACAUUUUCUGUUUCUCUCUUUCUGCUCUUAACAUCAGAAUAAUGACAAGUUAAAGUGAAAACUCUUUGCUCCUGUAAAGUGCUUAUUCUGAAUAUAGUUUGAGGUGAGUUUCUGUUAGUGAUAUUUGGAGUGAUUUUAAUAUGUGCAUUCUAAGUUACAUAGCAUUCAAGGCAUUCAUUAAAACAAAAUAAAAACCAACAAAGGAACAGCAUGAUGGCAUGUGGUAUGUUAGCUAUAGGAUUGUUUAGAAAAAACUGUUUAUCGCUUAUUAUUAAUAGUUCAUAUCUCAUAGAAUAUUACUGCAGAACUGAAGAUUAAGAAAUGUUACUGAGGAUGCCAGAUCCAAAGAUCUCCGUGUUGGAAAAUUAUCUCCAAUGCGUAACUGUUUCCCUGGCGUAUUUAGAUGGCCAUCCUUCUUUGAUGUCUCUUUUAAAAUCUACAUUUCAUUUUUUGGGAGCCUCUGUGUGAUGGAAAGUUUUUUUUUGUUUGUUUGUUUGUUUUUUUGAGAUAGAGUCUUGCUCUGUUGCCCAGGCUGGAGUGCAGUGGUGUGAUCUCGGCUCACUGCAACCUCUGCCUCCCUGGUUCAAUUCUCCUGCCUUAGCCUCCCAAGUAGCUGGAAUUACAGGUGUGUGCCACCACACCCGGCUAAUUUUUGUAUUUUUAGUAGAGACAGGGUUUCACCAUGUUGGCCAGGCUGGUCUCAAACUCCUAACCUCGAGUGAUCCACCUGCCUCGGCCUCCCAAAAUGCUGGGAUCACAGGCGUGAGCCACUGUGCCCAGCCAAUGGAAAGUUUUUAUCCAAGAUGAAAAAGCAGCUAAACUAAAUAGGACUUAGUCACUGCCUUCUUGCUAUUAUUAGCAGUACUACUGCUAUUACUUGGUAUGUACACUAUUAGUAGUAAUAGAGUGGUUACGGUAGACCUUAAAUUUACGGAGGAUGUUACUGUAUAGAAAAGAUUUUCACAUACAUUUUAUAAUUCUUCACAAAAACUUUGUGAGAAAGUAAGGCUACCUUGCUUUCAAAGUAAGCUAACUAUAAUAUAAUUGAUGAUUAUUAGUCUUCCAGAAGAAGGCCAUGACCUACCAUUAAGUAAACUUAAUGUCAAUUUAUCUGAUAAGAAAAAGUAGAACCUUUUUCUAAUGAUAGAUUUCAGGUCCUACUCUUAAAAGGGAGUCUUGGAGGAUUUCCCAGAUCUUUCUGGGAUAAAAUUAGUUUUUUUUUAAAAAAACAGUUUCAUUUUCCAGAACUUAACCGAUACAGAAGGAUGUAGCACCAGAAAACAUUAUACAAUAAGGCUUGCCCAGCACAGAGAUUUUUUACACUAGGUGACUAGUUAUAUUAAGUGCUAAAGUGAAAUUCUCUGUUAGUUCUCUAUACCUGUUCUUUGAAUUCAACUCACAUUUUUCAAUGCUUAAAAUCCAUGAAUAACUUUUAGAACCUAAGCAUGUUUAUAGGCCAUUGUUGUGUUUCUAUAAACAAAUACCUGAGUCUGGGUAAUUUAUAAAGAAAAGAGGUUUAAUUGGCUCGUGGUUCUGCAGGCUGUACCAGUGUGGCACCAGCAUUUGCUUCUGGGUGAGUGCUUCAGGAAAUUUAUAUAAGGGAAUAAAGUGAAGUAGGAACAGGGACAUCACAUGGUGAGAGUAGGAGCAAGUGAGAGAGAGGCAGGGGGUGCCACACACAGACUUAAACAACCAGAUCUCACGUGAACUUAGAGUGAGAACUUAUUUAUCACCAAAGAGAUGGUGCUAAACCACUCAUGAGAAAUCUGCCCCCAUGAUUCAAUCAUCUCCCACCAGGUUUUACCUCCAACAUUGGGAAACACAUUCAACGUGAGAUUUGGGAGUGGACAAACAUCCGAACCACAUCACCAGGUAAAAAGGGCUGUACAAUAACAUUAAGAACAUUGGGGUUUCAUGACUUCAGAAAUUUUAAGAAUUUCUUGCCUAGGAAGGACAAUGUAUAAGCAACAGAUUUAAUUGCCUUUGAGACAUGCUUUUGGUGAGAACUCUUAGGAAGGUCUCUGCCUUUCCUUAUGUGCCUGGUGUGCUGUAACAGAGGUCCAAAGACAGCAAGUCAUGGUGCUUGUGACAUGCACUGUCCAGCGAGGGACAUGGCACAAUGCCAUCACGAGUGUAUUACACAAGAUGCCGUUACAAUGUGGAAGGGGAGUGACCAACUCCACAGGGUUGAAAAGGAAGGGGUUCCCAAAGGAUCCUGAAUAGGAAGCAUUUCAGGUAGGUCUUGGCAGAAGUUGGUCAGAUGGGGAAGAGGGAGGUAAGAGCAGCACAUGGAGCAGCCUGAAACAUAGCUGUCACAUUUGAGAGCAGGGAGCAGCUUGCUGUGUUUGGUAUAGGGUAUAUGUGAAUCUGUGUAUGUGAAUAUUGGGGAAGGGAUGGCAAAGAUGAAGCAGGGGAUACCUGAAAAGAGCUAAGAGCCCAUCCUAAGGAGUUUGGUCUUUGUCUAUGUUCUGCUUUGUAUGUGGUAAUUUACCUGAAAAUGCUUGAGAAAUUUAGUGUAAACUGUAUGAUGUAUUUAAAUGUAAGUUAACUUUUUUCUAUACUCUAGGUAGCAUCAACUUGCACUCUAGAUGUGGUUCAUUAGCAUUUGAAGAAUCCAAAUCAUGAAUCCACACUUCAAACUUGGUUACCUACACAUUUCAAAUAAUUUUGCAAGAGUCUAUUUUAAGGUUUGUUCAUUGGCAUAGUGGAUGUUAGAAAUAAGAUAGGUGGUUGACUAGAAAGGUUACACUUGCUUUAUGAACCUCAUCCAAGGAAGGUGGAGGAAUCCAGCAAGCAAUAAUGGCAGUAGCCUCCCAGGUGUGGAGCGCUAUUGGUUCUGAGUACUCUCCUCGGUGAGGUUGCUAUCAGUGGCCCAGCUAUUAUAGAAGGGUAGAUGGUUCUGCGAUCAGGCUUUUGGGUCUACUCAGAGUGAAUCUGUCAUGUGAGAUGUUUGACCUACCUCUAACUUUUAGUGGGGGCUAUGGCUAUUUAUGAAGAGAACCUGCCAAUUGCUGUGUUCAUCAAUUGCCUAAUUGUCUUAGAUCACUGUGUAACUGGUCAGUAGUGGAGACCACUAGAGCUUAUCUAUAUAAUGCCAGCAGACUGUCAAUAUUAUAUAAAGAUUACUUUGGGGAAAGGGAGCAUUGGUGAGCUGGAGAAUAAGACCCUGUUGAAUUAUAUUUUAACUAAGUCAAUGUAACCCUUCAACAACCUGCUUUUUGUCUACUUGCUUUUCUUCCUCUUCCCUCUAUGGAUUCUUAAGCUAUCCAGGUUAGGCCAGGUGCAGUGACUCACACCUGUAAUCCCAGAGCUUUGGGAGACCAAAGCAGGAGGAUCACUUGAGGUCAAGAGUUUGAGACCAGCAUGGGCAACAUGUUGAGACUCCAUCUUUACUAAAAAUAAAAAAAUCAACUGGGUGUGGUGGUGUGCACUUGUAAUCCUAGUUACACAGGAGGCUGAGGCAGAAGGAUUGCUUGAGCCCAGGAAUUUGAGGCUGCAGUAAGCUAUGAUGCUGCCAGUGCACUCCAGCCUGGGUGACAGAGUGAGACCCUGUUCCAAAAAACCCCCGCAAACAAAAAGUACCCAGAUUCUGGCAUUGCCAGAAUAUUUGGGUAGUAUAUCAAGAUAGGGUAGGGAUGGGCAGCAGGAUAUGGGAAUUUUGAAAAAGCUCCUUAAAUGUUUCUGAUAGGUUUACUCUUGCUUCUUCCAGGGUUAGAUAAUUUAGGUGUGGGAAGAAGAACAUUAGGGCUAGGGAGAAGAGGAUUGGAUUUGUGUGUGUGUGUGUGUGUGUGUGUGUGUGUGUAUCUCCUCAAUUUUUAUGGACUAUAAGCAACUUGUGGAGAUUGAAAAAUCAGCUCCUAAACUUUGAUUUAUUUACUUUUUGGAUAAAAACAUGAAUAAACUAUUGUUAACAAUGGUGUUUGAGAGGCCUUGGGAGGAGUAUAUUUUCAUGAUACUGAUCUACAUAAGCUUGGAGGACAUUUACAUUCCAACAAUUUCUUGAGCAAAAGGAACAAAGAAACCAAAGAAAUGGAAAAAGGUCUUAGCUAAAUUGGUACAGACUCUGUUCUUGUUAUAUUUACUAAAAGGAAAGAAAAAGGAAAAGAAAGAAGUUUAUUCUUUAUUUUUUUUCAAUUUUUUUUAUCGUGAUAAGACAUAUGUAACCUUAAUUUUACCAUCUUAACGAUUUUUCAAUAUACAGUUAUGUGUUAUUAAAAAAUGCACAACGAUCACCACCAUUCAUCUCUGUAGCUCUUUUCAUCUUGCAAAACAAACCUUAUACCUAUUAAACAAUAACUCUCCUUCUACUUUCCCCACAUGCUUAGCAACCACUAUUCCAUUUUCUGUCUCUCUGAUUUUACUACUUUAAAGUUUCACAUAAAUGGAAUCAUACAGUAUUUGUCUUUUUGUGACUGGCUUAUUUCAUUUAGCAAGGUUCAUCAAGGUUCCUCAAGGUUCAUCUAUGUCGUAGCUUGUGUCAGAAUUGCCUUCCUUUAGAAGGCUAUUAUUUGUAUAAUAUAUACCACAUUUUUCAAUAACAGUUUCUCCAUUGAUGGACACUUGGGUUGCUUCCACGUUUUAGCUGUUGUGAAUAAUGCUACUGUGAACAUGGGUGUAUAAAUAUUGAGACCUUGCUUUCCAUUCUUUUGCUAUAAACAUAAAAGAAAUGGAAUUGCUGGCUGAGCGUGGUAGCUCACGCCUAUAAUCCUAGCACUUUGGCAGGUGGGGCUGAGAUGCAGGGAUCAUGAGGUUAGGAGUUGGAGACCAGCCUGGCCAAAAUGGGGAAACCCAGUUUAUACUAAAAAUACAAAAAUUAGCUGAGUGUGGUGGUGUGUGCCUGUAAUCCCAGCUACUCGGGAGGCUGAGGCAGGAGAGCUACUUGAACCUGGGAGGCGGAGGUUGCAGUGAGCUGAGAUCAUGCCACUGCACUCCAGCCUGGACCACAGAACAAGACUUCAUCUCGGGGGAGAAAAAAAAAGGAAUGGAAUUGUUGAAUCCUGUGGCAAUCCAAUUUUUAAUUUUUUGAGGAACUACCAUACUGUUUUCCACUGCAGCUGAACCAGUUUACAUUCCUACCAGCAGUGCACAAGGGUUCCAACUUCUCCAUGUCCUAGCCAACACUUUUUAUUUUGCGAUCUUUGUUGUGUGUUUUUAAACUUUUAUUUUAGGUUGAGGAGUCCAUGUGCAAACUUGUUAUAUAGGUAAACUCAUAUCAUAGAGCUUUGUUGCACAGAUUAUUUUGUCAUCUAGGUGCUAAGGCUAGUACUCAAUAGUUAUUUUUUUCUGAUCCUCUCCCUCUUCUCACACUCCACCCUCAAGUAGGCCCCGGUGUCAAUUGUUCCCCUAUUUGUGUCCAUGAGUUCUCAUCACUUAGUUCCCACUGAUGAGAACAUGCAGUAUUUGGUUUUCUCUUCCUGCAUUAGUUUGCUAAGGAUAAUGUCCUCCAGCUCCCUUCAUGUUCCCGCAAAAGACAUGAUCUUGUUUUUUUUUUUUUUUUUUUGAGACAGAGUCUUGCUCUGUGGCCCAUGUUGGAGAGCAGUGGUAUGGUCUUGGCUCACUGCAACCUCCACUUUCCAGGUUCAAGCGAUUCUCCUGCCUCAGCCUCCUGCAUAGUUGGGACUAUAGGUACCCACCACCAUGCCCAAUUAAUUUUUGUAUUUUUAGUAGAGACAGGGUUUCACUGUGUUAGCCAGGAUGGUCUUGAUCUCCUGACCUUGUGAUCUACCCUCCUUGGUCUCCCAAAGUACUGGGAUUACAGGCGUGAGCCACUGCUCCUGGCUGAUCUGGUUCUUUUUUAAUGGCUGCAUAGUAUUCCAUGGUGUGUAUGUACCACAGUUUCUUUAUUCAAUCUCUCAUUGAUGGGCAUUGUAUGAGUCUGUUCUCACACUACUCUUAAGAACUACCUGAGACUGGGUAAUUUAUGAAGAAAAGAGGUUUAAUUGACUGAUAGUUCUGCAGUCUGUUCAGGAAGCAUGGCUAAGAGGCCUUAGGAAACUUACAAUCCUGACAGAAGGCAAGGGGGAAGCAAAGCACAUCUUACAUGGUAGCAGGAGAGACACAGCACAAAGGGAAAGGUGCUACACACUUUCAAACAACCAGAUCUCAUGAAAAUUCACUAUUAUGAGAACGGGAAGGGGGAAAUCUGCCCCCAUGAUCCACCAGUCCCCUCUUCCAACAUGUGGGGAUUACAAUUUGAGAUGAGAGCUGGGUGGGGACACAGCGCCAGACCAUAUCAAGUAUUAGGUUGAUUCCAUGUCUUUGCUAUUGUGAAUAGUGCUGCAAUGAACAUUUGUGUGCAUGUCUUUAGGGUACAAUGAUUUAUAUUCCCUUUACACUCAGUAAUGGGAUUGCUGGGUAAAAUGCUGGUUCUGUUUUUAGCUCUUUGAGGAAUCACCACUGCUUUCCACCAUGGUUGAACUAAUUUACACUCCCAACAGUGUGUAAACAUUCCCUUUUUUUCCUGCAACUUCACCAGCAUCUGUUAUUUUCUGAGUUUUUAAUAAUAGCCAUUCUGACUGGCAUGAGAUGGUAUCUGAUUGUGGUUUCGAUUUGCAUUUCUCUAAUCAGUGAUAUUGAGCUGUUUUUCAUAUGCUUGUUUUGGCCACUUGUAUGUCUUUUUAAAAGUGUCUGUUUAUGUCCUUUGCCCACUUUUUAAUGGGGUUAUGUGUAUGGAGGUUCAUCAUUAGUUACAUUUAGUCAAUAGAUUAUAUUUGUUGUAGAAUAUAAAAUGUAUUCAUUUAAAUUAUAAACUAUGUUCAUCAGAUUAAUUGCUGUAUAAAUUAUGUAGGUUCUUCUUACAUACGGAAGAACUUCAGAGUCCUGCGUUUAUUUUUUUUUUCCUUUGCUGACUGCAUGUCAGCAUCUAACUUUAAGUAUAUAAACCAAGGAGGGAGAGUGGGAGAGGAAUGAGGGAUGAAAAACUCCCUAUUAGGUACAAUGUACACUGUUUGGGUGAUGGGUACACUAAAGUCCCAGACUUCACCACUAUACAGUUCAUCCAUAGAACCAAAAACCACUUGUGACCUUAAAGCUGUGCAAUCUAUAGUGACUUUAUACAAUAUAUAGUGAGCAGAUGUCAAAUAUAUAGUCAAUGAGGGAGCCAGCGUAAUAAAGCAAGUUCAAAGGAAGAUGUGAGAAACCAAGAUGGAAAAAAGAACAUCAGAAUAAGAUUGCAGAUUAGCGGGAAGAAAACCCCAAACAAACAACAAAACAAAACUGGUUAAUUGUCCUAAGGGCAAUAAAACUGAAACCUUGCAGGUUAUCUUUUCAACUAUACAGAAAUUCUUGGUAAUUUAUCAAUGUUUUACAAGUUAACACCUGUAUUAUUUCCUAUUACAGCUAUAACAAAUUAUCCCAAACUUGGUGGCUUAAAACAACAUGAAUUUAUUAUCUUACCGUUCUGAAGGUCAGAAGUCCAAAAUGGGUAUCACUGGGCUAAAAUCAAGGUGUCAGCAGGGCUGCACUCUGCUUGGAGACUCUAGAUCUCCUGGCUCAUGGAUAUCUGAGUUGCACAGUGUAGGUUCUUCGGUACUUUUGUUGUCAUAGAGCACAUUCAUUGGCUCUUCCUUAAUCAAACAUAUCAGAGGAUUUGGAUACAGACAUACUGGGAAGAAGGCCAUGAGAUGACUCAGGCAGAGGUUGGGGUGAUGCAGCCACAAGGAGCGCCAGGAGCCGCCCAAAGAGGCAAGGAAGGAUUCUACCUGAGAACCCAUGGCCCUGCCAGCACCUUGACUUUGGACUUCUAGCCUCCAGAACUGCGAGAGAAUACACACCGAAGCCACUCAGCUUGUGAAAAUUUGUUGCGGCAACCCUAGGAAACUGACCACUGGAAAGGUGCUGGGUAGGUCACAGAAUUGAGGGCAGAGCUGAAGAACCAGGCACAGGAAGGAGGGCACUCCUGAGGAGCUCAGCAGCGGGAGCGUGUGGACUGUCUGUAGCCAUCCAGGCGACCUGCUACAGUGGCCUUUUCACCUUGUGUACCUUGCUCAAGAGCCUAUCUCAGGAGAGACUCUAACCCAGCUUAUCUCAUUCCUU